rnacentral:rRNA from 1 species
GACGAACGCUGGCGGCGUGCUUAACACAUGCAAGUCGAACGGAAAGACCCUGCUUUUGUGGGGUGCUCGAGUGGCGAACGGGUGAGUAACACGUGAGUAACCUGCCCUUGACUUUGGGAUAACUUCAGGAAGCUGGGGCUAAUACCGGAUAGGAGCUCCUGCUGCAUGGUGGGGGUUGGAAAGUUUCGGCGGUUGGGGAUGGACUCGCGGCUUAUCAGCUUGUUGGUGGGGUAGUGGCUUACCAAGGCUUUGACGGGUAGCCGGCAUGAGAGGGUGACCGGCCACAUUGGGACUGAGAUACGGCCCAGACUCCUACGGGAGGCAGCAGUGGGGAAUAUUGCACAAUGGGCGGAAGCCUGAUGCAGCAACGCCGCGUGCGGGAUGACGGCCUUCGGGUUGUAAACCGCUUUCGCCUGUGACGAAGCGUGAGUGACGGUAAUGGGUAAAGAAGCACCGGCUAACUACGUG